UUUGUGAGAGUUAUUUUAUUUGUAUUGUUCUGUCUUGGUUUUCUCAAGCUUUAUCUCUUUUUGGUUGUUCUAAGUUUGCACUCUUAGUUAGAAUGCCUAUGCCAGAGUUUCUUCAAUCCUGUGUGGUUGUUAGUGGAGGAGCCCCAAAUUGUCUUAAUUUUGAUGUUAGAUCACUUUGUUAUUGUAGUGGCCAUUUGUGGCUAGAUUGUAUUGCCCCUUUGGAGCUGGUGGCUUUUUUGACUGAAGUAUGAAUGCAAUCCCAUAAUUUCUAUAAAAAAAAAAAUUUGGAAAAAAAUAUAUAUAUUCAAAGAAUGCUGUUA
rnacentral:lncRNA from 1 species